UUUCGGUCGUGGCGGUAAUGAGUGCUCAGUCGGUGAAAAGCAAAACACUCAUCGAUUGGUCAAACAUACACUAAGCUGCGGUCACCAUUUCUCCAUCUCUUUUUCUUUCCAAUCUUCUUUUCGACGGUCACCCAUAGAGGACAUCACCUGAGUGAUUGGUUAUAUAAGAAAAUAAAACCCAAAAAUUCUGGGAAGGAAGGGGCGGCUAGUUAAAAAGGAAUCUAAUUGUGUUCCAUAAAAGUAUCGAAAACAGAGCUCUUUUACAUCGCUGAACAGGAAAUGAGCGAUUGGCCGCAGAUUAGAUUUUCUUCCCCAUUGAGGAAUAAUGCCUUCAAGCUCAUGUAUGUGUAGUGCACAUAAUCUCACUGUGUGUACAAGGCUUUUUUUGACCUUUAAAAUGUUGAGUUCUGCGCCCACUUUUUAGGAAAUUGUGGUUUGUUGUGCUUAAUUUGCACGUUAUGAGUAUGAUGUCGAUUACAACUGUUAUUAAUGUUGACGAUUACAGAUAUGAAUUACGAAAUAUCAUCUACGAAAUGGCAUCUUCACGCUUGCCGUCAUCAGCUGAGCGUAGCGUAUCAUAAGUUGUUGCAGUCAAACGAAACUACGUUGUUGCCAGCGAUGAGCAAUAGCGGCGAAAAUCGACUGCCAUAUAUCAAAAGUCAUGAUAUCAUAAUUCUUUAGCACGGCAUUAUUCGACCCUAUAUAGGAAAACUUGAUAAGAAUAUUUUAACCGCAUUGUAUUGCUCGCUCCGUUGCAUUCAGCAGACAUUAUUCAAUCCGCUUGUUAUUGGUUUCAGUCGACGACUAUUGCUCUGUCUUGACAAGGCGUCGAUUAUUAUAACAUUCUUAAAACAGUUAGUUUGCUUUCGGCACAGCAUUGGUAUUUCAUCUAACAAUGCAUUGUCUUUGAUUAACAUUUUUUUACCAUUUCCAGUAAAGAAUGAUAUACAAACUAUACUCAUAUAAACCUUGGUGACGCGUCGAUGGCAGUUGUAAAAGGUAAUCUCUUAAGCUUAUUUUCUGAGAUUGUGAGACUUAGCUGCCUUUCGGAGCUGACUAGACGGGAGCGAUAAAAACAAUUUGAUAUCAAGUUUAUUCAUUAAAGAAGGUUUCAUGUUAUAUUGCGAGGGCUUAUCAAAGGCGGGGACACAGCAAAUUUUACACACGAGGUUAUUUAUAAUGUAGGGCCAGUUUAAUUUUCGUAAUAGACCUACUUGGAUCAGGCCAAUAAAAAGGGAAAGAGGUGUACAAUAUUUUAGAUUUUGAUUUGCCAUUUCGUUUGGUUGUUUUGGCUUUAUUUCAUUACAAUCCAAAGUAGUUUUACCUUAUAUCGACAACUCGGUUGCAUUUGCACUUGUAACUAGGCUUUCCUUUGGCCAUACAUUGGAUAAUUAAAGAAAGGAAAAUACCAAGGCGAUUAUUUUAAAAAAAGUACACUGUAUGAACUAGGGGAUGAACAAAUAUUUAAAUCGUCCGUCGUAUGAUCCGCACAUACUGACGUCCCGCUGAAGAAAAACGGAUCCAUGAAACCGGACGUCUUCGAAAAAUAAACAUUGCUUCACUCAAAGGAACUCGACCUUUUGACUUUUAGAAAAAUAUGGCUUUGCCGGAUCAUCUGAUUUCAACUGAGAAGCGCAUUAUCCGUCGUGACUCGAUGUCUGAUUAAUCUUACCUUAUACCUGAUUUACUUUCCCAAAUCUAACUUAAAUACUAGCACUUCCUACCCGAACUAAAGAUGUGUGAAAGCUUCUGACUUUACAUUCUCACAAUAUAUAUGUUGUAGGUUAUGUAUGGCGUACUUCCGUGAAUUACAAGCAGUUGGCAGGUCCAAUUUAAAUCCCCAUAAUGAGUGCAGCAAAAAAGAAUAGCUUAACGAAUGUAUUAGAUGUUUGCAAAAAUUUUGAUCGUAUUUUCACUCGGAAAACACUGUGAGGAGUUAGUAUGUGUAUUAAUGAAAAUAGUUUCCAUCAUUUUCUAGAACAUUUUACAAUAGUUGUGGCAACACGGCAAUACCAUGGCGAAAGACCUUAUAUUGGUUUGGCAGCGAUUCUCCCAACGAGCCAUUUUCGCACCUUUUCAACUUUGCGGACCCGCGUGCCAGCCAAACCCGGCUGCAUCGAUCCCAACAAGUGGUAAAAAAAAGGAGCUAUGUCUGCUCUUGCAACAAGUGGCCAAAUAGCAUUUUCAGUCAAUUCGUGCCGCCAUAUUAAACCGUCGGAACCAAAACCGACAAUUAGGAUAUGAUGGAGCAACAUCACCAUAAGCCUCUGAACGUGUUUGAUGUGCAUCGGCAGCAGAGUUCUUCAAGUAGACAACAAAAGUAAUGAAUUUGGAACAAGAUGAAUUUUGAACGCUUUAUCAUUAGCGUCGGCAUUGGCUGAAUAAAUCAAUAUUAAAAUUCGGGACAUCUUUGGUGUUGCGUCCUCUUCUUUACUUUUUUUUUUCUAAAAUGCUCUUAUAUCAUUUUUAAAUAGAACAGCUCACAUGAACACCAAGAGCAAGCAAAAAACGAAUAAGAACUUAUGCCACGUAAUUACGAAAGUCUGCAGGGUUAUUGUGAGAGUAAGUAUGUCGGCAAGUAGAUCUCUUUGAAAUUUGAUGUCAUUGUUCCAAAAUUUCUUACGACUCUAUAAUUGACUUAUAAUGCUUUCAUAGCAAUCCGGUUAUUAAUAUUCUUUCCUUUAAAACAAUACAUAAUAAUAUGUAUGCAGGUAUAUAUGUAUAUGUAUACAGCAGUAAGCAGCAUAAAGAAAGUAGGCUUGGGAAUGGUAACAAAGUUGUUGUUAUAUAUACAUGACAGUUGUUACUCUUGUAAUUCAUUUCACUAUAAACAUCAUAAUGAUAAAAAGCUGCAAGGAAUGGAAUAAGUUAGAGAAGAGAACUCUCUUUAACUUAACGAAACCCGUUUCCAUCUCAAACGAAAAAGAAAGAUGAAAAAAAAAAAAAAAAGAAAAAAAAAAUUAAAAACAAUUUG